rnacentral:rRNA from 1 species
AUACGGAGGGUACAAGCGUUAUCCGGAAUCAUUGGGUUUAAAGGGUCCGUAGGCGGGAAUCUAAGUCAGUGGUGAAAUCUUGCAGCUCAACUGUAAAAUUGCCAUUGAUACUGGAUUUCUUGAAUUAGUGUGAAGUGGUUAGAAUGUGUAGUGUAGCGGUGAAAUGCAUAGAUAUUACACAGAAUACCAAUUGCGAAGGCAGAUCACUAACACUAUAUUGACGCUGAGGGACGAAAGCGUGGGGAGCGAACAGGAUUAGAAACCCUAGUAGUCC